ensembl:snRNA U6 U6 spliceosomal RNA
AUGGCUUGCCAGCAUGUAUACUAAAAUUGGAACAAUACAGAGAAGAUUAUCAUGGCCCCUACACAAGGAUAACGUGCACAUUUUCCCCAUAUUUUU